UACGUCGGGUGCGAGCGUUGUCCGGAAUUACUGGGCGUAAAGAGCUCGUAGGUGGUUUGUCGCGUUGUUCGUGAAAACCGGGGGCUUAACCUUCGGCGUGCGGGCGAUACGGGCAGACUGGAGUACUGCAGGGGAGACUGGAAUUCCUGGUGUAGCGGUGGAAUGCGCAGAUAUCAGGAGGAACACCGGUGGCGAAGGCGGGUCUCUGGGCAGUAACUGACGCUGAGGAGCGAAAGCGUGGGGAGCGAACAGG
rnacentral:rRNA from 1 species